rnacentral:rRNA from 1 species
CGCUUUCCACUUUGUGAUUCAUGACUGGGGUGAAGUCGUAACAAGGUAACCGUAGGGGAACCUGCGGUUGGAUCACCUCCUUACCUUAAAGAAGC